rnacentral:sRNA from 1 species
UGUGGUUUCACGGGCCGCGGAGGGCGCCA